GUAGGUGGCAAGCGUUGUCCGGAAUUAUUGGGCGUAAAGCGCGCGCAGGCGGUCCUUUAAGUCUGAUGUGAAAGCCCACGGCUCAACCGUGGAGGGUCAUUGGAAACUGGGGGACUUGAGUACAGAAGAGGAAAGCGGAAUUCCAAGUGUAGCGGUGAAAUGCGUAGAGAUUUGGAGGAACACCAGCGGCGAAGGCGGCUUUCUGGUCUGUAACUGACGCUGAGGCGCGAAAGCGUGGGGAGCAAACAGGAUUAGAUACCCUGGUAGUCCACGCCGUAAACGGUGAGUGCUAAGUGUUAGGGGGUUUCCCGCCCCCUUAGUGCUGCAGCUAACGCAUUAAGCACUCCGCCUGGGGGAGUGCGGCCGCAAGGCUG
rnacentral:rRNA from 1 species